GAUGAACGCUGGCGGUAUGCUUAACACAUGCAAGUCGAACGGACUCUUCGGAGUUAGUGGCGGACGGGUGAGUAACGCGUGAGAAUCUGGCUUUGGGUUCGGGACAACCACUGGAAACGGUGGCUAAUACCGGAUGUGCCGAGAGGUAAAAGAGAAAUUGCCUGAAGAUGAGCUCGCGUCUGAUUAGCUAGUUGGUGAGGUAAAGGCUCACCAAGGCAGCGAUCAGUAGCUGGUCUGAGAGGAUGACCAGCCACACUGGGACUGAGACACGGCCCAGACUCCUACGGGAGGCAGCAGUGGGGAAUUUUCCGCAAUGGGCGAAAGCCUGACGGAGCAAUACCGCGUGAGGGGAGAAGGCUCUUGGGGUGUAAACCUCUUUUCUUAGGGAAGAACAAAAUGACGGUACCUAAGGAAUCAGCAUCGGCUAACUCCGUG
rnacentral:rRNA from 1 species